GUGCUCACUCUGGCAGCACAUAUACCAAAAUCAAAAGGACACAGAGAAGAUUAGCAUGGCCUCUGUGCAAGCAUUCCACUUUUUUUUUGUUUUGUUUUGUUUUU